GUAAUCCACUUCGGUGGUACACAUACUAAAAUUGGAACGAUACGGAGAAAAUUAGCAUGACCCCUACGCAAGAACGGCACGCAAAAUUGUGAAGUUGUAUGAUGUACG
rnacentral:snRNA from 1 species